rnacentral:lncRNA from 1 species
GUCAAGUUGACCUCAUUUGUCUUAUAAAAUAAGUGGAAUUAUACUUUGCUUAUAUGAGUAACUGGUUUUGUGUGCAUAGGGAAUUUUUAAGUACGCUUUUCAUUUGUAUUUAACUUUAACAAUGUCCUCGUUUUGGUCAAGUUCUCAGCAGGCUGAGAGCAUGAUCAACCAGUAGCAUUGCUCUCAGUUACCACAGUUGGUGUAGUCUGGGUGAAGACUCAUGUAUUAGGUGUUGCCAUGAGAUGAGCUGGAGGCUUAGGUGGGAGGGUCAUGUAUGCAGUCACCAUCUUCAUUGUUUAUGUGGUCAAUGUCGACUUCAUCCAGUUGCCUGAUCCUCAUGGACAGAUGCCAUUUGGUGUGUAAGUGGCUGCCAACAGGUAUUUAAAAACCCUCCAGAAUACACGAAGGAGAGGUUAAUAUGAUGUCUAUAAGGAGAACACUUGCCAAGAAUUUAAAAAUUCCCCAGAGCAGAGGUUACCAGGAACCAAGGUUGGACAAAUUGAACUAGAUCUAUAAAAGAGACACCAAGAUUGGAAUCAUGGAAGAGUAAUUGCAAAUUCUAUUUGCUAAUACAGAGAAAAGUUAUGAUAUUCCUGUUGAACAGUGUUCUCAUGGAAUUUGGCAUAGUAUGGAGUCCUGUGUUGGUGUCAGUACAGUCACCCCUAGGAGCUAGGAAGAGACUCUGCUGUGUUGACAACCUUCAAGUCUCAAACUCUUAUAAAGAAGUAGCGGACACUUGA